GUACACUCCUACGGGAGGCAGCAGUGGGGAAUUUUGGACAAUGGGCGAAAGCCUGAUCCAGCAAUGCCGCGUGAGUGAAGAAGGCCUUCGGGUUGUAAAGCUCUUUUGUCAGGGAAGAAACGGUGAGAGCUAAUAUCUUUUGCUAAUGACGGUACCUGAAGAAUAAGCACCGGCUAACUACGUGCCAGCAGCCGCGGUAAUACGUAGGGUGCAAGCGUUAAUCGGAAUUACUGGGCGUAAAGCGUGCGCAGGCGGUUUUGUAAGUCUGAUGUGAAAUCCCCGGGCUCAACCUGGGAAUUGCAUUGGAGACUGCAAGGCUAGAAUCUGGCAGAGGGGGGUAGAAUUCCACGUGUAGCAGUGAAAUGCGUAGAUAUGUGGAGGAACACCGAUGGCGAAGGCAGCCCCCUGGGUCAAGAUUGACGCUCAUGCACGAAAGCGUGGGGAGCAAACAGGAUUAGAAACCCGUGUAGUCCCA
rnacentral:rRNA from 1 species